rnacentral:rRNA from 1 species
GACGAACGCUGGCGGCGUGCCUAAUACAUGCAAGUCGAACGCAGUGGGGACGGGUGAGUAACACGUGGGUAACCUCCCAUCAGAGGGGAUAACACUUGGAAACAGGUGCUAAACCGAUACUGAUGGAUGGACCCGCGGUGCAUUAGCUAGUUGGUGAGGUAACGGCUCACCAAGGCCACGAUGCAUAGCCGACCUGAGAGGGUGAUGGGACAGACUGGGACUGAGCAACGGCCCAGACUCCUACGGGAGGCAGCAGUGGGGAAUAUUUGGCAAUGGACGAAAGCCUGACCGAGCCACGCCGCGUGAGUGAAGAAGGUCUUCGGGUUGUAAAGUACUUUUGUCAGAGAGGCGGUACCUAACCAAGAAGCACCGGCUAACUACGUGCCAGCAGCCGCGGUAAUUC